CGCGCCCGGUCAACGUCUGCUGCCGGCGGCGCCCACUAACCUGCUAGUGGGGGAGCCCCGCACCGCCGUGGCCAAUGGGCUUCGCCGCUCGCGGGACCGGCAGCCAGUGGGCGGGCGGGAAAGCUGGGCUAAGCCCUGGGGCACCCUGGGAGUCGUAGUUUUUCGCCGUCGAGGAGUUCCUGCCGAGCGGGCUCACCCCGCCCGGUUGCCAUUAGUUACCCGGACGCACCUCCCACCCCACCACCAGAAAAGGAAAGCUGAAGCAGAAAGGCUAAAAGCAACUUGCCCCCGGGGUCCUGAUAAGUUGGCAAAUUGGGAAUUAGACCCAGAUCUGCCUGACACCAGAGUCUGAGCCUUUGAACACUGCCUGUCUUUCCUGUGAAAACCAGACAGCACCCGCUCUCAACGGAGUCUCACUUUGUCACCCAGGCUGGAAAGCAGUGGCGAGAUCUCGGCUCACCACAACCUCCGCCUCCCAGGUUCAAGCGAUUCUCCUGCUUCAGCCUCCCAAGUAGCUGGGAUUACAGAGCAUGAGAUGAUGCCUCAACUGAUCACCAACUCUGCAGAGGCAGUCACUGAUACUAUCAUUUUCAUCUCCUAAUUGGAUUCCUAGGCAAAAGUGGACAUAUUCAACCUACAAUUAAAGAUGCUUAUAUUUUACAACCC